AUCAGUCUGAGGAACAAGAGAGAACUCAGCAGUGAUCAUCAGCAGAAAAUAAUCCAUCACAGCUCUGGGUUCCUACCACAACCUUACUGCUGCAGUUGAUUAACUGCUCCUUAUACAGGAGUCAUUCUGCCUAGUCUGUAGUUCAGAUCUCUCAAGUGAGGUGUUCUAAUCAAGCUGCUUUAAUUUUCUAUGACCUCUUUGAUGCCCCUCUCUGGAAUCAUGAAGACUGGGGAAUUGAUGCACAUGCAAGAAUUUCGGGGAAAGGCUGGAUGAUGAGGAGAAGCCUGGCGGAUAGAUCUUUAAGACAAACAUGACACUGACAACAAACAUUGUACGUUCAUUUAUCUUUAUGAAUAAACAAGAAAACCAAAAUCA